rnacentral:lncRNA from 1 species
CCUAGAAUAAAAAAAAAAUUGCAAUUACAAAUCAUAACACUGUUGGCACAAAGGAAAAGCUUGUAUCUGCUUGGAGCCAGCAAUUCUAACUCAACUUUAAGUUACAAAGGAUCUUUUACGGCUAUAGUCGCUAUCAGGAAGCCGUCGGAAGGGCUAAGCGCCUUCGCUGAGGGGGUUACGUCCAACAGCAGCCGGUCCUGCGGCGCAGGGGCCGGGGCGAGAGCACCCAGGGCCGCGGGGAGGAGCAGAGCCCCCGCCCGUGGGGCAGCGGGAAAAGCUCCCGCCCCCCGAGGCGAGGCGAGGCCCGGGCCGGCGGGGCCCCCUGCCGUUACGCCACCGCCCCACGGCACGAGCCCCCAGCCCGGCCCCCACGCGCCAACACCGCGGCGCGUCACGCCGCGGAAGGCGAGGAAACGCGGGGCCCACGCAGCUCCCCUCCCCCCGCCCACCCUCGGCGGAAGCAGCCCCCCCGGCGCAUGCGCCGCUGAGACGACCGCGACCAUCCCUUUCCGGCCGGCACGCGACCUUUCCUGCCCGCGCGUGCCGCUGCCGCUUGCCCCCCCCCUCCCCCGGCGGGGCGCGUGCCCCCGCCCUCCCCGCUCCGGCCUGCUUGCGCCUGCAGCGCGGCGCGCGCACCCUCCCCGCACGGCCUGCUCGAGACGCCGCCCGCCCCCCAGCCGUUAUCCGUUCAGUGCGCACGCGCCCUUUGACCCGGCUGGCUCCCUGCUGCCCCAGCCCCGCCUUGCACAUGUGCUCUCACGUAGGCGCAUGCGCCUUUGCGCGGAGCCCCAACCGUCGCCGGUGACGUCUCAAGGCGCAUGCGUUCUAGCGUGCGGCUGUUUCCCCGGCCCYUCCGGCGCAUGCGCCAUUCCUCACGUUCCCCCCGGCCGGGAGCCGGCGCCGCGCGUCUCUCCGCCUUCCCCUGUGGCGGCGCCUGCGCGCUGCGCGCUGUCGGUGCGUGGCGUGCAGUGCGGUGGGGGCGGGUGGGGGCGGGGCGGGUAUAUAUAG